rnacentral:rRNA from 1 species
AGUGAACGCUGGCGGUAGGCCUAACACAUGCAAGUCGAACGGCAGCACAGUAAGAGCUUGCUCUUACGGGUGGCGAGUGGCGGACGGGUGAGGAGUACAUCGGAAUCUACUUUUUCGUGGGGGAUAACGUAGGGAAACUUACGCUAAUACCGCAUACGACCUACGGGUGAAAGUAGGGGAUCUUCGGACCUUGCGCGAUUGAAUGAGCCGAUGUCGGAUUAGCUAGUUGGCGGGGUAAAGGCCCACCAAGGCGACGAUCCGUAGCUGGUCUGAGAGGAUGAUCAGCCACACUGGAACUGAGACACGGUCCAGACUCCUACGGGAGGCAGCAGUGGGGAAUAUUGGACAAUGGGCGCAAGCCUGAUCCAGCCAUACCGCGUGGGUGAAGAAGGCCUUCGGGUUGUAAAGCCCUUUUGUUGGGAAAGAAAAGCAGCAGGUUAAUACCCCGCUGUUCUGACGGUACCCAAAGAAUAAGCACCGGCUAACUUCGUG